rnacentral:rRNA from 1 species
UACAGAGGUCCCAAGCGUUGUUCGGAUUCACUGGGCGUAAAGGGCGCGUAGGCGGCCUUCUAAGUCGAACGUGAAAUCCCCGGGCUCAACCCGGGAACUGCGUCCGAUACUGGAAGGCUUGAAUCCGGGAGAGGGAUGUGGAAUUCCAGGUGUAGCGGUGAAAUGCGUAGAUAUCUGGAGGAACACCGGUGGCGAAGGCGACAUCCUGGACCGGUAUUGACGCUGAGGCGCGAAAGCCAGGGGAGCAAACGGG